UCGGGAAUUUUGGGCAAUGGGCGAAAGCCUGACCCAGCAACGCCGCGUGAAGGAUGAAGUAUUUCGGUAUGUAAACUUCGAAAGAAUGGGAAGAACUCAAUGACGGUACCAUUUAUAAGCUCCGGCUAACUACGUGCCAGCAGCCGCGGUAAUACGUAGGGAGCAAGCGUUGUUCGGAUUUACUGGGCGUAAAGGGCGCGUAGGCGGCAAAUUAAGUCAGCUGUGAAAUCUCCGAGCUUAACUCGGAACGGUCAGCUGAUACUGAUCUGCUAGAGUGCGGAAGGGGCAAUCGGAAUUCUUGGUGUAGCGGUGAAAUGCGUAGAUAUCAAGAGGAACACCUGAGGUGAAGACGGGUUGCUGGGCCGACACUGACGCUGAGUGCGCGAAAGCCAGGGGAGCAAACGGGAUUAGAUACCCCGGUAGUCCUGGCCUUAAACGAUGAAUACUUGGUGUCUGGAGUCUCUAUAGCUCCGGGUGCCGUCGCUAACGUUUUUAGUAUUCCGCCUGGGGAGUACGCACGCAAGUGUGC
rnacentral:rRNA from 1 species